rnacentral:rRNA from 1 species
GCUUAACACAUGCAAGUCGAACGAACUUAUUAGGGCUUGCUCUAAUAAGUUAGUGGCAGACGGGUGAGUAAUACAUAGGAAUCUACCCAGCAGUACGGAAUAACUUUUGGAAACGAAAGAUAAUACCGUAUACAGCUGAGAAGGGAAAGAUUUAUCGCUGUUGGAUGAGCCUAUGCAGGAUUAGCUAGUUGGUGGGGUAAUGGCCUACCAAGGCGAUGAUCCUUAGCUGGUCUGAGAGGAUGAACAGCCACACUGGAACUGAGACACGGUCCAGACUCCUACGGGAGGCAGCAGUGGGGAAUUUUGGACAAUGGGCGAAAGCCUGAUCCAGCGACGCCGCGUGAGUGAUGAAGGCCUUAGGGUUGUAAAGCUCUUUCAGUAGGGAAGAUAGUGACGGUACCUACAGAAGAAGCCCCGGCUAACUUCGUGCCAGCAGCCGCCGUAA